rnacentral:rRNA from 1 species
GUCCUGUUGUUUAUUUAACAGGUUUGACCUGCCCAGUGAAUUUUUAACGGCCGCGGUAUAUUGACCGUGCAAAGGUAGCAUAAUCAUUAGUCUUUUAAUAGAAGGCUGGAAUGAAAGGUUUGACGAGAAAUUAUCUGUCUCAAUUGUAUAUUUGAAUUUAUCUUUUGAGUCAAAAGACUCAAAUUUAAUUGAAGGACGAGAAGACCCUAUAGAGCUUUACAUUUACUUUUUAUGAAUUUAUUUAGACCUUUAAUUUGAAUUUAUAAAUAAAAUUGUUUUGUUGGGGUGACAAGAAAUACAUAUAUAACUUUUAUCAUGAUUUAUACAUUGAUAUAUGAUUUAUUGGAUCCAAAAUUUUUGAUCAUUAGAUUAAGUUACCUUAGGGAUAACAGCGUAAUCUUCCUCCAGAGUUCGUAUUUACAGGAAGGAUUGCGACCUCGAUGUUGGAUUAAGAUAAUAAUUAGGUGUAGUAGCUUAAUUAAUAGGUCUGUUCGACCUUUAAAUUCUUACAUGAUCUGAGUUCAGACCGG